rnacentral:rRNA from 1 species
CAAAAUGACUCUYGGCAACNGAUAUCUCGGCUCUCGCAUCGAUGAAGAACGUAGCGAAAUGCGAUACUUGGUGUGAAUUGCAGAAUCCAGCGAACCAUCGAGUCUUUGAACGCAAGUUGCGCCCGAAKCCUUCGGGCCAAGGGCACGUCUGCCUGGG